AAUUUUAGGGCAUUUUGGACUCGAAUUUUAGGGAUUUAUGGCUUGAAUUUUCGCUAGUUUUUUUUUCUUGUUUAAGUUCAUCUUUUUGUUCUUGGUUAUUCUGAAUUGAGAAUAUUGAACACUGCUUUCUGAAAAGAAGUUGCUUAAAUUCAUCGCCAUUGCUGCCCCUAUCUCUGAUGAGCGCUCCACUUUCUCCUUCCCAAUUGGAGAAACUGUUUGUUUCCCCAAAGUUAGGGCUGAAACUGUGCAUGCUAAUUAGGUUGUUCGAAGCAGAAGAAGUGUUGGAAUAACAAAUCUGCUGCUGGUACUGCUGCAGUGCUGCUGCGUUGAUAUGUUCUUUCGUUAUCCGAAUAAAAGCCUGAUAUGAUAGUCCAUAACGGGGCUGGAGAUGCUGGUUAACUUGGUGAAUGAUGGUCUGGUGACAAUGCAGCUUGAAUAAAGGGAAUCAUCUUAAGGGAUUAGAGCAGGUGGGAACUCAGAUUUCAGUGAUGAAAUGGGCAAGGAACUUAGCCAAAUGAGUGCGGUAGCUGGGCUAAGGUUCUUGAACCGGGCAGCGCUGAAGAGUCUAGAGGAGUUUGGAACAGAAGGUUCCAUGAUAAGUCCAUGGAAAAGAUGCUGCUAUUCUUGUCCCUGGUGAUGUAG